GACGAACGCUGGCGGCGUGCUUAACACAUGCAAGUCGAACGGAAAGGCCCUGCUUUUGUGGGGUGCUCGAGUGGCGAACGGGUGAGUAACACGUGAGUAACCUGCCCUUGACUUUGGGAUAACUUCAGGAAACUGGGGCUAAUACCGGAUAGGAGCUCCUGCUGCAUGGUGGGGGUUGGAAAGUUUCGGCGGUUGGGGAUGGACUCGCGGCUUAUCAGCUUGUUGGUGGGGUAGUGGCUUACCAAGGCUUUGACGGGUAGCCGGCCUGAGAGGGUGGCCGGCCAACUUGGGAAUGAGAGAAGGGCCAGACUCCUACGGGAGGCAGCAGUGGGGAAUAGUGCACAAUGGGCGGAAGCCUGAUGCAGCAACGCCGCGUGCGGGAUGACGGCCUUCGGGUUGUAAACCGCUUUCGCCUGUGACGAAGCGUGAGUGACGGUAAUGGGUAAAGAAGCACCGGCUAACUACGUG
rnacentral:rRNA from 1 species